UACGGGGGGUGCGAGCGUUGUCCGGAAUCACUGGGCGUAAAGGGCGCGUAGGUGGUCUGGUAAGUUUGUGGUGAAAGCCCGGGGCUCAACCCCGGGUCUGCCGCGAAUACUGCUGGACUCGAGUGCUGUAGAGGCUGGUAGAAUGCCGGGUGUAGCGGUGGAAUGCGUAGAGAUCCGGCAGAAGACCGGUGGCGAAGGCGGCCAGCUGGGCAGUGACUGACACUGAGGCGCGACAGCGUGGGGAGCAAACAGGAUUAGAUACCCUGGUAGUCCACGCCGUAAACGAUGGGUACUAGAUGCUUGGGGGAGCGACCCCCUGAGUGUCGGCGCUAACGCAGGAAGUACCCCGCCUGGGGAGUACGGCCGCAAGGCUGAA
rnacentral:rRNA from 1 species